GUGGUACUCCCUCCGUUCGGAAUUACUUGUCUCGAAAAUGGACGUAUCUAGAACUAAAAUACGUCUAGAUACAUCCAUUUCCGCGACAAGUAAUUCCGAACGGAGGAAGUAGUUU
rnacentral:pre_miRNA from 1 species